rnacentral:rRNA from 1 species
CCUACGGGUGGCAGCAGUCGAGAAUCAUGCACAAUGGGGGAAACCCUGAUGGGGCGACGCCGCGUGGGGGAAUGAAGGUCUGCGGAUUGUAAACCCCUGUCAUGUGGGAGCAAAGUAAAAAGAUAGUACCACAAGAGGAAGAGACGGCGAACUCGGUGCCAGCAGCCGCGGUAAUACAGAGGUCUAAAGCGUUGUUCGGAACAACUGGGCGUAAAGCGUGCGUAGGCGGUUGCGUAAGUCGUGUGUGAAAGGCGCGGGCUCCACCCGCGGACGGCCCAUGAUACUGCGAGACUAGAGUACUGGCGGGUGCACCGGCAUUCUCGGUGUAGCCGU